CCACGCAUGCGGGAGAGCCUGCGCUGGGCGGGUCUCUGUUCCCAAACUCUGGUGGUGCCUGAGGCCGUUCCGAAAGGCAACGCGUUGUCGCUGUUGAGGAAAACGAAGGCGGAACAUACUGGCGAGGGCGAAAUUCUUUAAUAGAAGAUCAUCAUCAUCACAUCUUACUCAAGGAAAAGGUGGUUGCCAAUCAGCUCCAGACGCUGUUGGAUGAGACCGGUUAUCUGGAUCCAUUUCAUUCAAGGGUUCAGCCAGGUUUUGGUCUGGAAAUUACUUUGGUUGUCUUCUAUGAUGACCUGUGUUGGGAGAGAAACAAGGGGUGUAAAAGCCUCUGGUGUGAGAGGGGGCUGGAAAAGCCCUGUUGUGUAUGCAUGGAACUCCACAUCUAGCCCUUUGGAUCUUAGCCAUGGAUUGAAGAGAGUGGUGUGUAUUACAUGAUUUUAUGACUGCUUAGCAGAAGGGCAGCAUUUCAUAACAGAUUUAUAUUGAGAAUCAACUUUUUAAAGCUAGGACAGACUCAAAAAUGCAUAAGCAAUGCUUCGUCAAAUUACAUUCCACCAAAACGUGAGUGUGAUAGCAGAACGGGAUUGCCAAUGUUCAGGCAGUAGGCCAUUUAUAUUUCCAGUUGCAAAAGGCAAAAUUAGG